CAGCAGCCGCGGUAAGACGGGAGGUGCAAGCGUUGUCCGGAAUUACUGGGCGUAAAGCGUCCGUAGGCGGUUCAGAAAGUCUGCUGUUAAAGCUCACAGCUCAACUGUGAAUCGGCAGUGGAAACUUCUGGACUAGAGAGUGGUAGGGGUAGAGGGAAUUCCUAGUGUAGCGGUGAAAUGCGUAGAUAUUAGGAAGAACACCAGUGGCGAAGGCGCUCUACUGGGCCAUAACUGACACUGAUGGACGAAAGCUAGGGGAGCGAAAGGGAUUAGAUACCCCUGUAGUCCUAGCUGUAAACGAUGGAUACUAGGUGUUGGCCGUAUCGACCCGGUCAGUAUCGAAGCAAACGCGUUAAGUAUCCCGCCUGGGGAGUACGCACGCAAGUGUGAAACUCAAAGGAAUUGACGGGGGCCCGCACAAGCGGUGGAGUAUGUGGUUUAAUUCGAUGCAACGCGAAGAACCUUACCAGGGAUUGACAUCCUACGAAUCCUCUUGAAAGGGAGGAGUGCCUUCGGGAGCGUAGAGACAGGUGGUGCAUGGCUGUCGUCAGCUCGUGUCGUGAGAUGUUGGAUUAAGUCCCGCAACGAGCGCAACCCUCGUCCUUAGUUGCCAUCAUUAAGUUGGGCACUUUAAGGAGACUGCCGGUGACAAACCGGAGGAAGGUGGGGAUGACGUCAAGUCAUCAUGCCCCUUACAUCCUGGGCUACACACGUACUACAAUGCAACGGACAAAGGGCAGCCAACUAGCGAUAGUGCGCUAAUCCCAUAAACCGUUGCUCAGUUCAGAUUGCAGGCUGCAACUCGCCUGCAUGAAGGCGGAAUCGCUAGUAAUCGCAGGUCAGCAUACUGCGGUGAAUACGUUCCCGGGCCUUGUACACACCGCCCGUCACACCAUGGAAGUUGGCCACGCCCGAAGUCGUUACCCCAACCCUUGUGGAGGGGGACGCCGAAGGC
rnacentral:rRNA from 1 species